rnacentral:lncRNA from 1 species
UUGCAGCAUGGUAUAUUUUACAGUAUUACAUUGUGUUGGCAAACUUAACAACAAUUAGAUAGUAGGAUCAGAGGUAAUAAGUACAAAUUGGGUUAAAUUCAUAUUCAGUAGGUAUAAUAAAAUUCAAAGCAUCAUCAAAUAGGAAGUUACUGUUCAAAAACCCAUCUGAAAAUGGCUUAAUGGUAUAACUAAACACUGUAAAGUGGAAAGCAAUUAACUUUCAUCCUGUCAUACUCACAAACAAGUAAUACCUAACAAUCAAUGGGACCAAUUGACAAAUCCUGAGAAAAAACAUAUAUACAUUGGAAUUAGACUAACUGACAACAAAAACAUACCCAUAGCAUUGGAAAAUUUUGGU